CACCAAUGGCGCAGAUACGUCGCAGUCAACGACGCAUAACCACAGCCCCACCAUAGCCACCCUGGCUAUCCCCGUCGAGGCGGGGGCCGGCGGCUCCUUGGAUAACUACGUGAAUGCCUCAGCACCCGUGGGCGUGUCUGGCCUCCGCAGCGGAAGCGGCAGUGGCUCCUCGUUCUAUCCUGGAAGUUUUUUUACCAGCGCCGUCGUCACAGAGGGGCGAACCGGCUGCGAUGCCGGUGCAUGCAGUGGCGUCGUGAACAGCAGCCCUCAUCGCCAUCACCCACACGCCUCGCUCGGCGCGGGUGAUGGGGGGUCGUCAGCAGACGCGGAGUCGGUCUACGGCCGUGGUAGCAGCGAGGCCGUGCCGCCUGCGCACGCGUCGGUCGGUGGCGGCACUGGGGCACACCUCACGACCCCCAUAUGCCGACCCUUUCAGCUGCCCCAUCCGCAGCUGUUCCCGGCAGGACCGUCGUACGGCCCCUACCCCAUCAGCAGCAGGGCCUCGCCGAAUGUGAACCUUGGCCAGCAGCCAGCGGCUUCACCGUCAGGCAGUGCGGGGAUGCUUUCACUCGGUUCUUUCACCGCCGCCUCAGUCGACUACCCCCGGGGCUUUCUGGGACUUUCUGCUUUGGCCUUCAGCCCUGUCGGUGGUGCUGGUGGAGGCGCACAUGGAGCGGCUGGUGGGCCCGGCGGCAUACCGCCACGAUGGCGCUUCGCGUCGAUCGCGGCGUCUGUCACUGCCGACGAUGUGGCGUCUCCAAACAGCUUUACGAUGCCGCCGGCUGGUGGUGGUGUCGGUGGCGCUACCCUUUCUUUCACUGUGGCCUCCCAUGAUGCCGCAGCGCUGCAGCAGCAAGCAUGUCGGCGACUGUCGCCCCUCGUCUCCCAUCCGCCUCUGCAUCACCACCUGUCGUGUGGGACAGUGACGCCAGCCACGGCAACUAUGCGGAGCCGCGGCGGCUCAGGCAACGACUUGAGCGGGUACCAGCUCCAGCCGCCGCCGGUGCAGCACGCGCAGAAGCAGCCGCCUCCCGCGCUUCUUUCUCCCGAGGCGAGCGCCACCUCGGCUGCGACUUGGACAGCCGCAGCCGGCGCGGUGCGUUCGACGGCGACCACGGCGACAGGUACUCCGCCGCUGAGAGCAGAGACGCGCAUCUUCACAUCGGCCGUGCAGUCGCCAUCUGCAACUACGCAUAUGGACCACGACGGCUCAACCUCUCCGGCUGCGGAAGCUGCUUCUGGUAGGCUUGGGAAGGAAGCAGCGACGUCGCCGUGUGUGGCGAGAGAGAUGUCGGAAGCGUGUGCAGCUUUUGCAUCGGCGCACGAGGCCGGCGAGGUGGCGCACAAUAACUCGCUCAUUGCUUACUUCGAGCUGCAUCGAUCUAUUUCCGGGCACGGCUGGCGCUCGUGGUGGGAGCAGUUCUGUCUUUACUUGUUGCAAUGCAGUCCGGACUACUGCAUUCAGGCCUGCGAGCCCUUUGCGCGGCAGCACCACAUCGCCUUCUCGUACUCGGAGCUGCUGCCCUUGGCUCUCUUGUCAACGCUUCCGUCCUGCACCGUAGCCGAGCUCGUCGCGUGGCUUCGGGCGCUGCGCGACUUCUACGCCUUCCACACCGACCCUAGCGCUCCUGUGCCGCAGCAGGUCGCCUCCGGGGUGGCCCGCGUCGCACACGAUAUCCGCCUUUACCACCGCACAUUCUUCCCGCCAGAGGUGGUGUCGCGAGUCGUGGAUGUCUGGCUGCCGGAAAGUGUCGUGGCGGAGCUCGCGAAUCGCUCGCUCAACCCCCCGUUGCGCAUCCUAUACCUGGAGCAGGACCUGACCCGCUUCUUCUCCUGGGGAUGUACGGCACUGCUCAUGGUAUCUGCCGAUGACGUGGCGAGCGCGUUGGAGCGGACGCUAUUCGUGCAAGACCCGCGCUUUCAGCAGUGGCUGAGUGCGGCGGCGGCGACGGCAUCAGAGAUGCGGAGCAGAGGCAGGGCGGUAGCCCGUUCUCCAGGACGGCGGCGUCGCAGCUGCAAAGCUGUGAUGAGGUCGGCGGCAGCGGCCGCUAAGUCGUCGUCGUCGAUCAUCGACACCCUAACUCCGUCAGCGCUGGAGCUGCUUGGCUUCCACCGCGCAGCCGCGCUCGAGUAUGUGCGAAUGUACGAGGAACAGCAGCUGAGCGAGCGCCGUGACAGCUGCCGCGCUGCGGCAGCGGAAGAGGAUGAGGCUGCACAGUUUAGUCCAGGGCCAACAUCGAAGGACACGGCGACUCGGCACCACUCAAGCGCCGCUGCUGCUCGGUUGAUCGUCGGGGCGAUGCGCUGCCACAUCUGCCUGUGCGACUUCGAGGCGGUGCUGCGGCUCUGGGAGGCCGUUAAGGGCAGGGGCGCUGCCGACGCGACCACAUCGAUGGCAAGCUCUUCCCCGUCUGCAGACGCUUGCAGUGAGGCGUCCGACGGCGACAGCGGCUCGGCCGUGGUGUGGGAUGGCUGCAGGCGGGCUAGCUCGUGUGUGCUGAGUCCCGAGACAGCGCGAUAUGUGGUGAUGUCUGCCCAGGCUCUUUCUCGGUGGGACUACGUGCAGGAAGCCGCCCACUACGCCUUUGGUCGAGGAAACGCUGGUGGGCUUUCCUGGACCGCCAGCGCGCCGCAAGAAGCGCAGGGACACACGCCCAAGUCGGGCGGGCCUGCUGCAAAUUCUGCCGUGACACCACAGAUGCAGCGGCUGCAGCAGCCACCAGGCAGCCCUCGCUGGGCGGAGGAUGUGGAAGAGGAAGGGCACGCCCAACAAUUCCCGGACGAAGUGUUCUCGUCAGACUUGCCGUCCGUCAUGGGUGUCACGGUCGAUCACCGGGCGGCCGAUCACACCCGCGAGUCGCUCCUGCAGCGGCAGAUGGAGGUGUUCGUUGGCGCGGCGCUCGUGGCGGCGCACGAUUACGACGGCGCGAAGCGGGCCUUGACAGCCGUCCGCGACGGACUACGUGACUCCUACGCUGUCUUCCACAGCGAUAACGAUCGCGUGAAGCUUGAGUGGAGCAGCAUCUUCCAACAGCUGUCCGACUUGGAGGAGGGCAUGCACGCGCUUGAGCAGGUGCCCGCAGCCCAGGAGGGGGUGGCCGCCGUGCCGACAAGCACGGAGAGCGGUGGCACGUCCGCGACGUGGUCAGGCGCGAGAUUGCCAGCUCUGGAUCGCGAGAUCAACGGCAAGCUCUUUCCCGAGGUGACGGUGCGGCGUCUGCGCAACAUCACGUGCCGGCCGGUUUCAGCCACCACCACGAUCCUGCAGCUCUUCAUGAUCAUUGCCGUCCGCAGCGCCAUCGCCCCUGUCACCUGGCAGCUUGACAACGUCCUCGCCUUGGGGGAGAGGCUCGAGAAGGCGGGCCAGCCCAUGCGCGCUGUGCAAGUGCUGCACCAUUACGCCCAUCUGCCUGUCGUCGCCACGUCUUUUACGGCCACGGCGAUGGAGUUCAAGCAGCAGCUGAAUCUCGAGAUGCUGCGCCGUCUGAUUCGCAACUUGUCUAGCGAGGAGGACCUGCGCGAAGUGUACGCCUGUGUGCAGACAGCGCUGCGGAACGACCUGUGGCUGGCGCGCCGCGCCGCUACGCGGCGGAUGAGUGCGGUAUCGCCAACCUCCUCAUUUUCGGCGUCACCGUCUGCCGCAGCUGCGCUGUCGUCGUGGCCGUUGCGGAACCAGCUUGCGAUGGAUGCUGCUGCCCCGCGUGGUUCCAUGCUCACCGCACAGGAGCUCGGCCCGUCGCUGUCGCACUACCAGGUGGAUCUACUGCUUCUCAAUGUCGCAUGCAGGCGUCGCCUGGCCCAUGUGCUGCUGCAUCGUGCGUCGCUUGCACACCGGCCCUCACCGGUUGCUGUCACUUCGGCCACGUCUGGCGCGUCUGCGCCGCUCGCGGACGCGACAGUGUCCAACUCGGCACCGUCGUGGACUUCGGACGCGGUGCGGCACCCCACCAACAUGUUCUUACUUCCCAUCGACGUUGAUAGGACGCUUCGCCGUGUCGCUACGGAUGUCGUAGAGGACGAGAAGGCCACCCGCACAGAUUCCCAUUCGCCGGCCAGCUCGUCCAUCACGCACCAGCCCAGCGACUUUCCAGCUACGACUGCGGCUCCGUUGUCCGCCCGGAGCGGCGCUGGCUCAACAGCAGUAGCAACGAACUGCACCGGUGACGGUGCAAGCUGUCGUCAUGACUCUGCAGAGAGCGGGCGCGUGGGCAGAAGUGACACUUCACCGGCGCGGGAGCGGCGCGCCAAGAUGGACGAGGCGGCCGCUACCGCGAUGGAGGAGCCCGUGGAGGCGAAGGAGGAAGGUAUUCUCUCGCUCGAAAGCGUUACAGGGAAGACAGCGAUGUUUGCUGAGUACUACCUGCUCGAGCAAGCUGUCGCGGUCACCUGCUACGUGCCAUCCGUAUGGAGAGAGUUCGGGCUCGUCUUGUUUGAUGUCUGUAUGGCCAUUCACGCGGAGUGGAGGUCGACAGGGGACGAGGAGACGAAGCAGAACUUCCUGGCACAGUCGGCCAAGGCGAUUCACGGUCUGCAGCUUGCAGCGCAGCUCUGGCGCAGCCAGUCAGAGUCGGUCUUCAGCCGCGGUAUCGGCCCCUUCCCUGCCACGAUGCUGCGUCGCCACGGGCAUGCACGAACGGCGUUGCCAUCGGCCCACCUGCUCUUAAAGGCGCUGCACUUGGCAGUCACGUGCGAGGUCAUUGUGCAGGACGACGCGCGGGCUGCUGCAGCCAGCGCCACUGAAGCAACAACAGCGGCGGCCGCCGCCGCAGCGGUGGUGGUCACUCCCAGCCUGUCGCCUGCUCCGUUCUCUGCAUCUUCGCCGGCGCCGCGGCCGUCCUCUUUGGGAGCCGGCAGCGAGACUGCGAAAGACGCGGAGGAGGCGGAGGUGGCAAGCGGCACAGGCGGUGACGGACGCACGUGUAGCGCGUUCACGACUCCACGGUCGUUGUCUGCGAGCCAGCGCACAGAGCAGCCUCGCGCGGGAGCGUGUGAAGCUGGGACGACAGAGGGGACGGAGACGGAGAACAGUAGGGACCCGACGACCAUCGAGAACAGUGCCGACACCACAGUGCAGCCUUCUUCACAUUCGGCCUCGCAGCCGCAGCCGGCCGCUGCUGCCGCCGUUACCGAGCAACAGGGUGGCUUUGCCUGCCUCGACUUUUCUGCCGCCUCGUACCUGCAGUGGGCUGCCGUCGCUCCGUUCCUGCUUGCGGCCGCUACCCGUCACCACAGCCUGUACGCGGCAUUGCGGGACAUGUGCGUGCAGUCGCGCGACAUGCUGCGCCAGCUGGUGUUCCCCCUCAUUGCAAUGUUUGAGCAUGGGUAUGGGACGAUGCUAGCGCAGCCGGCCGGCCACCCUCGCUAUCACAGAGCUUCCACUGCUGAGGAGGCGCCUGCGGCGACAGCUUCGCGUCACCUCACCAGCACUUUUGUUGCUGCGGGGAGUGGAGGGCAGGAGGGUGUGCGGCGACAGCAGCAGCGGAGGGGACUCAAACCUUCCGCGCGCGUGUUUGAGGGCGAGGACGGCGACGAACACGUCAGUGGCGUCAGCUGCUCCAACUCCACCGAGGCGCCGUCGCUGUUGGAGCACCCGAGGAUGGCAGAGGGCGACACCAGCGAUGCCGGUCUGAUCGCGAAGCGCGCGGCACGGACGUCGGCCAUAGAAGUGACGGGCAGGUGGCACAAAGGGGGGCGCAGAGUUCCCCGCGCGGCGCUGACGAUGCCAUUGCUGCCCACCCGCGCCGGCACCGCCGACGGUGAGGCGGCAACGCUCGGUGGCCCAACCGCGUCGUAUACGGUGUCGGCGCCACACCGCCUCAUGCCUCCGCUGGAGGAGUCGGAGCGGGAGGUUUACUCGUCGCUGCUAGCCGACAUAGCAGCCGCCAGCCCUGGCCAUCGGCGACUCAUCCACGAGGCCAUGCAGAUGCGCACCUUUGUGCAGGGGCUGUGGGAGGUGCCGAAAGCGGCUUCGCAAAGGCGCAACUCAUUGAGGGCAGCGAUGAGGCAGGACGGCAUGGACGCAUCGUUGGCGUCGUCGGGUGUCGUCGAGGGAGCACCGCCUCCAACACAGCGUCCACGCGAGGCGGCGUCUAGUGGAGCUGCGUCGCAUGGGACCACCAGGGCCAAGGGCGCUGCCUCGGGCUUCGUCGCCAUCGACGACGCCGGCGGCAUGCACGGAGAGAUGGAGCUGCUCUUGGACGGCUUCUGUCCCUUGCCGGCGCCACUGUGGCUGCUUCCCAGCGUGUUUGGGGUGGGGAUGACGGCAGGGGACGCUGGCGGUAGCAGCGUUCACAACAACACCGGCGGUGAUGAAGGUGCGAGGGCCGGAAAAGCCCACUCCAGCGGCGUCGGACCCGGGCCGGAUGCGGCUACUCUUGGCCGUCCGCACGGCGGCCAAUCAGCCGGGCCGACCUCACCUGCUUCCACUGCGCCUGCCACACGGACGGCUGGAUACUGCGGUGCGCGAGUGGACGAUGGAGGCGGCGGCGUGGCAGGGCUGCCUCGGCCGUCUGCGGCCAGCCUGCCGGCUUCCGCAACAGCUGCACACGACCAGCGGGCCGCGCAUAGCACCACAACGUCCGCUGUCAGCUUCGCACCCGCGACGGUGCCCACGAUAAUGCAUGUGCGAAGGUACGCCGUCCUGAAACCGGCCCCGCACCACCAGUGCGAGGAGGUCAUCUUUGUAAUGCUGUCGGACGGCUUGGUGUGCCGCUUCCGCCACGCGGCCCCGGCGGCGACUACCAAGAGCGGAGAGGCCCUCGGCGCGUGUGAGCCACCACACGGCGCAACGGACUGUGCUAGCGUGCAGCUGGGCCAGUCGAGGAAAAGCGGUGCUGCCUCGGUUGGCGCUGGUGCGAAGGGUGCCCCAACCGCCAGCGGAAACUCCGGGGCAGACCGAUACCUGCUUCCCUGCGCCUUGAUGGAGCAGAUCGCCUCCCUGCUCCUCAGUCACCUUCCCUUGACACAUCUGCAGCGACCGUUUGUGCUGCCUCUUGCGGUGCAGGAUUACAUGACGAUGCUGCCAGAGCACAGAACGUCGCCGCUCAUCCUCGGCGCAGCAACAGCUGCGUCAGUGCGGUCGGACGAUCCACAGGGAUGGCGACAUGACAUGGCGCUGCUCACCGGUCCGUCAAGUGGCAGCUCCGCUGCUGCGCUCCGCACCGCAACACAGCUGCUGGCCUGGUCGUCUGACGCGACUCGCACGCCGCCGUCGCUGUAUCACCUCAUGGACGACUACACGGUGCACCUCCGCGUCCGAGAGAUGGCUUUGGCGGCGCAGGAGGCGGUGGAGGCCUACCCCGCACUCGACCUCGACGCAAUGCAGAUUGCCGCAGAGACGGGCCGGCGCCCUGGCGUAUCGGCGGACAACGCCUACCCAUUCAACUGGGCCUACGGCUAUCCGGCGAGCGCCCCGCCAACGGACGAGGCGGCGGCCGCGCUGACAAGCUCACACAGGUACCGCGACCUCGUACAGCGGCGCCGCAUGAACGAGGGGCGCUUUGACCAGCUUGUCGCCGCAGCCUACGAUGACGGCUGCGUUGGGCCACUCAUCACGUUCCUUCAAGGCAUGCUCGCCGCCCGACCGCCGCCGCCGCCUUCGCCGUCGCCGCCAGCGCCAGCAACGCAAACUGGAGCGGCAGCACUCACCAACACGGCAAGCACCACGGCGACGACGACAUCGCCUUUUUCUGCCUCCUCUUCCGCGCCAGCGCCGCAGCCUUUCCGCUCGCCAGAGGAGACGUUCUCGAUGCAGCAGCGCCUCUACGCGUACGCGGCCGUGCUGCCGCGCACAGAGGCGCACUUGCGCAAUGUCCUGGCAGCUGUUUCAGCCGUUGCCGCAGGCGGCGAGGACAACGUGACGAAGGAAUCAUCGACGCCCUCGUCUUCAUCGUCGCCGCUGUCGCCUGCCGUGUCGCCGGUCCUCAACACGAAGAAGCGGCAUUACGGUCACCGACAGGCCUUCACUGCCACACAAGCCACUCCCCUCUCGGCGCGUGAGCUGCAGGCUUGCCGGCUCGCUCUUUUCCGCUUGGAGAGCGCUCGCUGCAGGUUUGCCUUGAACGACGCAUUCAGCGCCGACAGCAGCAAUGCGAGUCACUGGCUCGAGGCGCGCCGCACGUAUGCGAAGGAGCUGUCCGAGUGGAGCGUCAUGGAGUACCUCCUUGACGUACACACGCGCGAGUGUGGCACGGUGCUCGUGAACACAUACGAUGGCCAUGUCGCGGUGCAUGCCCUGGGGCGGUACUGCCUUCAGCCGCCGCCACGGCAGAGUCGCGGCGCGUGCGCGAAAGAAGCAGCGAUGUGCGCAGCUGACAUCGCCCCCCUUAUCGUGAGCCCGUUCCCGACGCAUGAUGCAACGCUGUUCCGCUUGACCCCGGUGCUGGUGGCUGGCCUCCCCUUGCAGAGCGCCCACGCCGCCUUCCAGUACCACGCCAGUUCCGUACUCUACGAGAUAUUUCAGUACGUGCGCGAUUUGACCGGCAUUGCCACCUACGGAGUCGACUGCGUGACGGCGUUCGCGCACGCUGCGGCGGCACCUCAUGCAGCCCCUUCGCCCUCGUUGCACACCUCCUCGACAGACACGCCGCUGUCGACGUGCAGAUCGUCGGAUUUCUCUGUAAACGCGAGCGGCGACUUGAGUGCUGCUUUGCCGAGUCGUCGUGCAGCACUGCGACCAGAGGGCAACCGUGCAUCCACAUCGGGAUCGGUGAACGCCGGUGCCGCCCUGGAAGACGCCCCAGAGCCGAGCACUGCAGCGGCGCCACGACGUGCCGGAACAAAGGUCGCUGUUGCAUCGACAAAGAGGCAGCGCGAGGCCCCCCCGCCGCUCGAGUAUCUGGUCAGCGUCCCCGCGACCGUGGCCUCCACCGCGCCCUCUUCCGCUUUCGGUGCUCCCCCUGCGCGUGGCGUGGCGCCGCGCCAUCCGAACUCGCCGCUCGACGAUGCCGCCGAUGCUUCAACGCUGCCUCUGCCGCCGCGCUGCUUUGACUCUAGCUCCUUCCGAUUGAAGCUAUCAUACGAUGCGCUGUUCGCCCUGCACGAAGAGGCUGAGCGCAGCGGGCGGGCAACCAUGCUGCGCUUGCUACGCAGCCAGCGGGAGGCUACGGAAGCGCAGUGGCUGCACGUGACGCCGACAAGUCCGUCCCGGGACGGAGACGACGGCAACGCCGUGGAGACAAAGCCGUCAGCCGCGAGCCACGGUGCGACGGGGGCAAAGGUGGGCAGGACUCUGCCGUCGCCGCUGUCGAAUGCGGCCGACGACGACGACGACGGCGCCCCGCGCCCGACGUCUGCGUUUGACUUGGCUGCUGCUAUGAUCACGGCGGCCACGGAUGAGGAGAACCUGCUCGGAGUCGAUGGCUUAUGCCCUCACACGUGGCGGCGGUGGGCACCGCACUGGUAGCGCAUUUUGCAUGCGCGAUGGGGACGAGGCCUCUUGUGUUUUUUUUUUCUUGCUGCUGUGUUUCUGUACAUGUGCCUGUGUUUCUCACGACAGCAGUGCUGCAGUCUGCACCUCCAUGCGUGUAUCCACGCAUGUCAGCGCGAGCUUCGCGAGGCUGAAG
rnacentral:misc_RNA from 1 species